rnacentral:rRNA from 1 species
GGAAUAUUGCACAAUGGACGCAAGUCUGAUGCAGCAACGCCGCGUGGGUGAUGAAGGUUUUCGGAUCGUAAAGCCCUUUUCUUGGUGACGAGGAAGGACGGUAGCCAAGGAAUAAGUGUCGGCUAACUACGUGCCAGCAGCCGCGGUAAAACGUAGGACGCAAGCGUUAUCCGGAAUUACUGGGCGUAAAGCGCGCGCAGGCGGGUCAGCAAGUCUUUCGUGAAAGCUCCCGGCUAAACUGGGAGAGGUCGGAAGAUACUGCUAGCCUAGAGUAUGGCAGAGGUGUGUGGAAUUCCGCGUGUAGUGGUGAAAUGCGUAGAGAUGCGGAGGAACACCAGUGGCGAAGGCGGCACACUGGGCCAUAACUGACGCUGAGGCGCGAAAGCGUGGGGAGCAAA